UUCGACCCUAAAUCAGAAAUUUUCUGCUACGCAUGUGGGAGUGGAAUGCAGAGCUAUAACAAAUCAUCAAGUGUGGUACUUGCGUAUCAAAGGGCUCAUUUCGCAUCAUUCUUCAGCUACGUUCACCAAUUCUUACUCAACAAGUGACAGAUUGUUAUCUUCGUUCACUACGAAUUUGGCAGGUUCAGUGGUUUCCAUGCGCCCCCAUUUGUCCACUGCUAGUCUCAUCGACCUCUCGAACAUGUCAAUCUCUGCAUUCCGGAGAAUAAUUGUGGUUUCUGGUUUCAUCAAGUCAACUGCACUCAAUAUAAACACCCAAUUGAAUCACGUAUCAAACUGGUAAAUCGUGGCAACAUGAAGUCUUUGUUAAUAUGAAUUAUAUAUCGAUAGAAUCUAGUAGGUAGAGAGCAAAAAAUCAGUAAAUUUUUGCUCUCUUGUAAAUUAUGGAAACGUAGAGAGAAACUGAGAGAGAGAUGGACCUCGAUUGUUACAAGCAGUGAAGAGGAUGGUGGCAGUGUCAUCACCAACAAGACAUUCAGCCAUCCGAGUUUGGCGGACCCUUUAGCACUACGGAACGGCGUUGCAUUUCAACACUUUUGCGAUAAGAUUGUGACCGUUAGUUCCCGGUUUCAGCUGAUCAACUUUCACAAACACUGGCUUUCUCUUCUCUGCAACCUUGGUGUUCGUGUUUCCUUGCUGCUGCUGCUGUUGUAGUUGUUGUGUUGGCGGCUUUUUCCGGGUUUUGUCGUCGUGUCCAUAGCAUUCGUUUAAACUUAAGCUUCUGUUAGAUCGUUUUGGUUGGUGCUGUGGAUCAAAUUAGUGAAAUUUUGGGUGGAAAAUUUAUCAUUGGACCAAAUUAAUAUUAUAAAUACAUAGUUAUGCAACUAAAAUUUCGAAAUUAAGGCUUGUUUCCUACUUUUGGUAUAGAAAAUAAUGUUGCAAUAAUAGUGCAAAGGAAUUUAAGUUCUUCACAUUUAUAUAUUAUAAAUAAGAAACAAACAAGAAGAACGUGUGCAGAUGACUACGAAAGAUGUCCGACAUUUCUCCUGCUGUCUGCUCUACCACAAGCAUCCCUCUCUCUUUCUCCUUCAUUCUAUCCUCCAUCAUUGAACCUUUCUCCUCCACCUGUAAUUAUAGAAUACUUCUAUUUGUUUAUUUUGUAUUUAUCGUAAGACAUGCAACAAUAUUAUAUUAAUUUUAGGAAUAUACCCCACCAUCUCUCUCUCUCUCUCUUCUCGUAUCUGAAGAUUAGUUAGAUCAUCCUGUCUUGUGAUUCCUAAGAAUGAGUCAAAGACUGCCCAGAAGAGAUUUUCGAAAAAGUAUUCGAUAUUUUAGGUGAAUAUAUGAAAUCAUAAUUGUUGUUAAAUAGGUAAUAUUCAGUACCAACUGGGUUUCUGAUAUUUCAAUGGACUCCGGUUUCUGGACCUCCCGUCUGGCGGCUGCCAAGCGUCAAUACACGUUGCAGCAUCAUCAUCAUCAUCAUCAGAGUUCGCACCUGGAUCGGUUGAGCAUAGAUGAUUUUGAGGUAGAAGAUGAGGUGAGGCCUGAUUUUCCAUGUCCAUAUUGUUACGACGAUUUCGAUAUCGCGUCGCUCUGUUCGCAUCUCGAAGAUGAACACUCGUGCGAGUCAAAAGUCACGGUAUGUUCUGUUUGCUCUGUUAAAGUCACAAGGGACAGCUUAAGUCAUAUUACUCUGCAACAUGGACACCUAUUCAAGUCACAGAAACCCUGUAGAUUACAUAGAGUUGCAAUUCCUAGCAGUCAAGCUUUGUCUCUUCUGGGCCAAGAUCUCAGGGAAGCUCAUCUUCAAGUGCUUUUAGGGGGUGGUGGAUAUUGGUCAAACAAUGCUAAUCUCUCUAAUGCAGCAACUAAUCCUUUCCUUUCAUCACUUAUUUUGAAUUUUCCUUCAUCUGACAUAGAGGAAAUUUCAAAAUCUGUUGUAACAAGUGCUGAGGACACUGCUGCUAAGAAUCCAGCACCAACACAUAUCUGGAAAUCGAGUUUUGAUCCCUCUUUGAGUCAAGAGGAGCGGGAUAAAAGGAUGAGGCAAGCAGCUGGGAGAGCUGGUUUUGUGCAAGAUCUAGUGCUCACAACUCUUUAACCAACUGAAGGGAGACAGUCAAUUCAUGUUGAUUGUUCAUUAUGAGAAGUGAAAAUAAAGCCAAGAAAAGCCAGUCAGACAGAACCAGUAGUUGCUCAACACUACUUUAAAGACUUAAGUUAGUUGUGACGGCGGGUCGGUGAGUUGGGUAGAUAAUUUUUCACCAAUUUUUAAUAAAAACAAAGGAAAAAGACUGGAAGAUAGAAGGCAACAUCGCUAGCCAUUAAAGUCGGUCCACAAUCCAACUUACGCCAAGAUUCCAAUUCCUACUCGGAUACAGCUCACCUGCAUCAACAUCUCUCAACCCACUAAAGUCAUGCGGUAAUAUCUUCAUUCUCUCAACAGUAAUCGGAGAAAACAGUUCCAGAGACUGGAUAUGUAUGUUGACCAGAGCCCCGCUAUUAAAAUAUGUUUAAUUAUUCUCCAGACACAAUAAUUCCAAGCAAGUAUACAAAUUCUGCUCUCUCUGUCAACCAUAUACAAUAUACAGCUUUUUUCUAAUCAGACCACCGACCCAUCAAAGUUUCAUAAUAACAGGCUCAGGGAUCCCAUCGAAUCUUAUAUAUUGAAGGUUUCAUCUGGGUGUUGGUUACGGCGAUCAAAUGAUGGUGGAGUUAUUUGUCCUGGGUUGUACAGGAAUUGUGGUGUUCCUUCACGGAGCCAACUUUUUCUUCCAUGUUAUUUCCCAGCACCUCACCGUUCGUUCUCUCAGUUUUCUGGGAUUUGUUGGCUGGUAGAGAAGAAGAGUAGAAGAUGGAAGGUGCAUUUAUAAGUGGUUUAUGAGAUCUUAUAGCAAAUUUAGAAGCUAGUAAUAUUGCUGGACAAGCUACAAAAUAAAAUGGUGGAAUCGAUGUAUUGAAAUUCAGGCAGAACCAACCAGAUUUAUAUUAUAAUAAGCCUGUAAUUUUUGUUUAUGAAUUACCCCCAUCAGUGCUGGUCAUCAGUACUGGUGUGUAUUGUGGAAGUGAGAAUUUGUGAAUCAAUAAUGCUGCAGAAAGAGCUUCUCUGUGGGAGGCAAUUUUUGUGA